UUACGGCCAUAUCAUGUUGAGACACCGGUUCCCGUAUGAUCAACGAAGUUAAGCAACGUCGAGUAUCUCGAUGUAUGGCCGCUUGGGAAUACCAGGUGCUGCAA